GGGGAUUAGAGUCCAUUACAACAUUAACCCUUUCAGCUUGGUGUCUAGAAGUGGGAUAGAUAGAAGUUGGAUCAGCAAAACCAUUGCGGUGAGUAGCCUUUUUGUGUCUUAUUUGACGCUGAUUGUCUAUGACCCCCGUUUGGUUCAGUAAGACUGUAUCCAGUAGAUAGGAAAGGUGUAAGGACUCUAGUUAUAUUGAGACUAUAAGAGGUCUCCGGUUUAUUAGACAUUUGGUCUAAAUAUAUAUAGGGUUUUGGUAACCCAGGUUAGUAUCUAAGAUAGAUACAGGUUUUUGAGACCAUAAGAGGUCUCCGGUUUAUUAUAGGGUUUUGGUAACCCAGGUUAGUAUCUAAGAUAGAUACAGGGUAUCUCAGGUAGAUACAGGUUUUUGAGACCAUAAGAGGUCUCCGGUUUAUUAAGUCUAUAGGUGUUCUGAGCAGCACGGUUUGUAGAUCUAUAAGUAUAACCCAAACUUCUCUUUCUCCCGGUCACCUUUGUUUGUCUUAAGUGUUCUUUGUGGGUGAUUGUUUGUCUAUAUUGGGGACACACUUUGGUAAGUUAGUAGUGUCCCCACUCUGAGUCAGC